CUGGUGGCGAGUGGCGAACGGGUGAGUAAUGCAUCGGAACGUGUCCUGUUGUGGGGGAUAACCAGUCGAAAGAUUGGCUAAUACCGCAUGAGAUCGAGAGAUGAAAGCGGGGGACCGCAAGGCCUCGCGCGAUAGGAGCGGCCGAUGCCGGAUUAGCUAGUUGGUGGGGUAACGGCCCACCAAGGCGACGAUCCGUAGCUGGUCUGAGAGGAUGAUCAGCCACACUGGGACUGAGACACGGCCCAGACUCCUACGGGAGGCAGCAGUGGGGAAUUUUGGACAAUGGGCGCAAGCCUGAUCCAGCCAUGCCGCGUGUGUGAAGAAGGCCUUCGGGUUGUAAAGCACUUUCGGACGGAACGAAAUCGCGCGGGUGAAUAAUCCGCGUGGAUGACGGUACCGUAAGAAGAAGCACCGGCUAACUACGUGCCAGCAGCCGCGGUAAUACGUAGGGUGCGAGCGUUAAUCGGAAUUACUGGGCGUAAAGGGUGCGCAGGCGGCUUCGCAUGUCAGAUGUGAAAUCCCCGAGCUUAACUUGGGAAUUGCAUUUGAAACUACGAGGCUGGAGUGCGGCAGAGGGAGGUGGAAUUCCACGUGUAGCGGUGAAAUGCGUAGAGAUGUGGAGGAACACCGAUGGCGAAGGCAGCCUCCUGGGCCGACACUGACGCUCAUGCACGAAAGCGUGGGGGAGCAAACAGGAUUAGAUACCCUGGUA
rnacentral:rRNA from 1 species